rnacentral:rRNA from 1 species
AUUGAACGCUGGCGGCAUGCCUUACACAUGCAAGUCGAACGGUAACAGGUUAAGCUGACGAGUGGCGAACGGGUGAGUAAUAUAUCGGAACGUGCCCAGUCGUGGGGGAUAACGUAGCGAAAGCUACGCUAAUACCGCAUACGAUCUACGGAUGAAAGCGGGGGAUCGCAAGACCUCGCGCGAUUGGAGCGGCCGAUAUCAGAUUAGGUUGUUGGUGAGGUAAAAGCUCACCAAGCCGGCGAUCUGUAGCUGGUCUGAGAGGACGACCAGCCACAUUGGAACUGAGACACGGUCCAGACUCCGACGGGAGGCAGCAGUGGGGAAUUUUGGACAAUGGACGCAAGUCUGAUCCAGCAAUGCCGCGUGCAGGACGAAGGCCUUCGGGUUGUAAACUGCUUUUGUACGGAACGAAACGGUGAGCUCUAAUACAGUUUGCUAAUGACGGUACCGUAAGAAUAAGCACCGGCUAACUACGUGCCAGCCGCCGCCGUAACAC